UACGUAGGGAGCAAGCGUUGUCCGGAAUCAUUGGGCGUAAAGCGCGCGUAGGCGGCCCGAUAAGUCCGCUGUGAAAGUCCAGGGCUCAACCCUGGGAUGCCGGUGGAUACUGUCGGGCUCGAGUCCGGAAGAGGCGAGUGGAAUUCCUGGUGUAGCGGUGGAAUGCGCAGAUAUCAGGAGGAACACCGGUGGCGAAGGCGGGACUCUGGGCCGAUACUGACGCUGAGGAGCGAAAGCGUGGGGAGCAAACAGG
rnacentral:rRNA from 1 species